AUAUUGGUCAAUGGUCGAGAGACUGAACCAGCCAAGUCGCGUGAAGGAAGACGGCUCUAUGAGUUGUAAACUUCUUUUGUACAGGAGUAAAGUGAGACACGCGUGUUUUAUUGCAAGUACUGUACGAAUAAGCAUCGGCUAACUCCGUGCCAGCAGCCGCGGUAAUACGGAGGAUGCAAGCGUUAUCCGGAUUUAUUGGGUUUAAAGGGUGCGUAGGCGGUAUUACAAGUCAGGGGUGAAAUCUUGGUGCUUAACAUUAAAAUUGCCUUUGAAACUGUGGUACUUGAGUGUAAAAGAGGUAGGCGGAAUGUGUUGUGUAGCGGUGAAAUGCAUAGAUAUAACACAGAACACCGAUUGCGAAGGCAGCUUACUAUCAUACAACUGACGCUGAUGCACGAAAGCGUGGGGAUCAAACAGGAUUAGAUACCCUGGUAGUCCACGCAGUAAACGAUGAUUACUAGCUGUUAGCGAUAUACUGUUAGUGGCUAAGCGAAAGCGAUAAGUAAUCCACCUGGGGAGUACGUUCGCAAGAAUGAAACUCAAAGGAAUUGACGGGGGCCCGCACAAGCGGAGGAACAUGUGGUUUAAUUCGAUGAUACGCGAGGAACCUUACCCGGGCUUGAAAUGCUAUCGACCGACGGAGAGAUUCGUUAUCCAGCAAUGGCGAUAGUGUAGGUGCUGCAUGGUUGUCGUCAGCUCGUGCCGUGAGGUGUCGGCUUAAGUGCCAUAACGAGCGCAACCCUUGCCAAUAGUUACCAGCAUUUAGAUGGGGACUCUAUUGGGACUGCCACCGUAAGGUGCGAGGAAGGUGGGGAUGACGUCAAAUCAGCACGGCCCUUACGUCCGGGGCGACACACGUGUUACAAUGGGGAGUACAGAGGGUUGCUACACCGCGAGGUGAUGCUAAUCCCUUAAAACUUUUCUCAGUUCGGAUCGGAGUCUGCAACUCGACUCCGUGAAGCUGGAUUCGCUAGUAAUCGCGCAUCAGCCAUGGCGCGGUGAAUACGUUCCCGGGCCUUGUACACACCGCCCGUCAAGCCAUGGGAGUUGGGGGGACCUGAAGUUCGUGACCGCAAGGAGCGACCUAGGGUAAAACCGAUGACUGGGGCUAAGUCGUAACAAGGUAGCCGUACCGGAAGGUGCGGCUG
rnacentral:rRNA from 1 species